AAGUUGGGUUUUCAAGAUAAAAUUGGUGGGUAACAUUUCUUAACUCUAAACCUUCGAUUACCCAUUAUUAUUAUUGAAUUUAUGAGUUCAAAUCAAGAUUUCGGGUUGAUUAUUUGGGGGUGCUUCAUGAACUUGAGUUAUGAAGUAAAAGUGAGUUUGUGAACUGAUUUUAAGUUAUAUUUUGAAAUGAUUUUCCCUGAUGAGUUCCUAAAACCUUGAGUAAUGUUGUCAAGUAUUAAAUUUUGAAUCCAAACCUUAAUUUUUGGAAUUAGGUAUUGUAUUGAUUGACUCACCUUUUAAGGAAAUUGUAGUGGGUGUUGUUGAUUCUGGAAAGUGAUUGUGAAUACUUGCUUGAUUAUAGAUUGUAUGGUUUUGGAAGUGAAUCGGACGGGGGAGACUCAACUUUUGGAGUGAUUGUUGAUUGAUUUAAGGCAUCUGGCUUCCUAAACAUUGUAUUCUGAUUGAAUUCGCAUGCUUCCUUUGUUGCUUGCGUGUUGGGAGUAAUGAAGAUGAGGUGAAGGGUUUAAAUUGUCCACUUGUAACUUCCUCAUACAAUAGCGAAAUGAACCGAUAUUUUUUUCUAAAUGUCUUAAAUAAUGAUACUGACCUACUCAAUUAACC
rnacentral:lncRNA from 1 species